AGUCGAACGAUGAAGUCUAGCUUGCUAGACGGAUUAGUGGCGGACGGGUGAGUAAUGUAUAGGGAUCUGCCUAGUAGUGGGGGACAACAGCCGGAAACGGCUGCUAAUACCGCAUACGCUCUACGGAGGAAAGUGGGGGACCUUCGGGCCUCACGCUAUUAGAUGAACCUAUAUCAGAUUAGCUAGUUGGUGGGGUAAAGGCCUACCAAGGCGACGAUCUGUAGCUGGUCUGAGAGGAUGAUCAGCCACACUGGGACUGAGACACGGCCCAGACUCCUACGGGAGGCAGCAGUGGGGAAUAUUGGACAAUGGGCGCAAGCCUGAUCCAGCAAUGCCGCGUGUGUGAAGAAGGCCUUAGGGUUGUAAAGCACUUUCAUUGAGGAGGAAAAGUUAUGCGUUAAUAGCGUAUAGCC
rnacentral:rRNA from 1 species